rnacentral:antisense_RNA from 1 species
CUUGAUGGCACCCAGCCACAGCGGCCGGUCCUCGGGCCGGCCCUGGCCGUACGUCGCCAGCAACGCCUGCGCCUC